rnacentral:rRNA from 1 species
GACGUGCUAAUCUGCGAUAAGCGUCGGUGAGGUGAUAUGAACCGUUAUAACCGGCGAUUUCCGAAUGGGGAAACCCAGUGUGUUUCGACACACUAUCAUUAACUGAAUCCAUAGGUUAAUGAGGCGAACCGGGGGAACUGAAACAUCUAAGUACCCCGAGGAAAAGAAAUCAACCGAGAUUCCCCCAGUAGCGGCGAGCGAACGGGGAGGAGCCCAGAGCCUGAAUCAGUGUGUGUGUUAGUGGAAGCGUCUGGAAAGGCGCGCGAUACAGGGUGACAGCCCCGUACACAAAAAUGCACAUAUUGUGAGCUCGAUGAGUAGGGCGGGACACGUGGUAUCCUGUCUGAAUAUGGGGGGACCAUCCUCCAAGGCUAAAUACUCCUGACUGACCGAUAGUGAACCAGUACCGUGAGGGAAAGGCGAAAAGAACCCCGGCGAGGGGAGUGAAAAAGAACCUGAAACCGUGUACGUACAAGCAGUGGGAGCCUCUUUAUGGGGUGACUGCGUACCUUUUGUAUAAUGGGUCAGCGACUUAUAUUCUGUAGCAAGGUUAACCGAAUAGGGGAGCCGAAGGGAAACCGAGUCUUAACUGGGCGUUAAGUUGCAGGGUAUAGACCCGAAACCCGGUGAUCUAGCCAUGGGCAGGUUGAAGGUUGGGUAACACUAACUGGAGGACCGAACCGACUAAUGUUGAAAAAUUAGCGGAUGACUUGUGGCUGGGGGUGAAAGGCCAAUCAAACCGGGAGAUAGCUGGUUCUCCCCGAAAGCUAUUUAGGUAGCGCCUCGUGAAUUCAUCUCCGGGGGUAGAGCACUGUUUCGGCAAGGGGGUCAUCCCGACUUACCAACCCGAUGCAAACUGCGAAUACCGGAGAAUGUUAUCACGGGAGACACACGGCGGGUGCUAACGUCCGUCGUGAAGAGGGAAACAACCCAGACCGCCAGCUAAGGUCCCAAAGUCAUGGUUAAGUGGGAAACGAUGUGGGAAGGCCCAGACAGCCAGGAUGUUGGCUUAGAAGCAGCCAUCAUUUAAAGAAAGCGUAAUAGCUCACUGGUCGAGUCGGCCUGCGCGGAAGAUGUAACGGGGCUAAACCAUGCACCGAAGCUGCGGCAGCGACACUAUGUGUUGUUGGGUAGGGGAGCGUUCUGUAAGCCUGUGAAGGUGGCCUGUGAGGGUUGCUGGAGGUAUCAGAAGUGCGAAUGCUGACAUAAGUAACGAUAAAGCGGGUGAAAAGCCCGCUCGCCGGAAGACCAAGGGUUCCUGUCCAACGUUAAUCGGGGCAGGGUGAGUCGACCCCUAAGGCGAGGCCGAAAGGCGUAGUCGAUGGGAAACAGGUUAAUAUUCCUGUACUUGGUGUUACUGCGAAGGGGGGACGGAGAAGGCUAUGUUGGCCGGGCGACGGUUGUCCCGGUUUAAGCGUGUAGGCUGGUUUUCCAGGCAAAUCCGGAAAACCAAGGCUGAGGCGUGAUGACGAGGCACUACGGUGCUGAAGCGACAAAUGCCCUGCUUCCAGGAAAAGCCUCUAAGCAUCAGGUAACAUCAAAUCGUACCCCAAACCGACACAGGUGGUCAGGUAGAGAAUACCAAGGCGCUUGAGAGAACUCGGGUGAAGGAACUAGGCAAAAUGGUGCCGUAACUUCGGGAGAAGGCACGCUGAUAUGUAGGUGAAGCGACUUGCUCGUGGAGCUGAAAUCAGUCGAAGAUACCAGCUGGCUGCAACUGUUUAUUAAAAACACAGCACUGUGCAAACACGAAAGUGGACGUAUACGGUGUGACGCCUGCCCGGUGCCGGAAGGUUAAUUGAUGGGGUUAGCGGUAACGCGAAGCUCUUGAUCGAAGCCCCGGUAAACGGCGGCCGUAACUAUAACGGUCCUAAGGUAGCGAAAUUCCUUGUCGGGUAAGUUCCGACCUGCACGAAUGGCGUAAUGAUGGCCAGGCUGUCUCCACCCGAGACUCAGUGAAAUUGAACUCGCUGUGAAGAUGCAGUGUACCCGCGGCAAGACGGAAAGACCCCGUGAACCUUUACUAUAGCUUGACACUGAACAUUGAGCCUUGAUGUGUAGGAUAGGUGGGAGGCUUUGAAGUGUGGACGCCAGUCUGCAUGGAGCCGACCUUGAAAUACCACCCUUUAAUGUUUGAUGUUCUAACGUUGGCCCGUAAUCCGGGUUGCGGACAGUGUCUGGUGGGUAGUUUGACUGGGGCGGUCUCCUCCUAAAGAGUAACGGAGGAGCACGAAGGUUGGCUAAUCCUGGUCGGACAUCAGGAGGUUAGUGCAAUGGCAUAAGCCAGCUUGACUGCGAGCGUGACGGCGCGAGCAGGUGCGAAAGCAGGUCAUAGUGAUCCGGUGGUUCUGAAUGGAAGGGCCAUCGCUCAACGGAUAAAAGGUACUCCGGGGAUAACAGGCUGAUACCGCCCAAGAGUUCAUAUCGACGGCGGUGUUUGGCACCUCGAUGUCGGCUCAUCACAUCCUGGGGCUGAAGUAGGUCCCAAGGGUAUGGCUGUUCGCCAUUUAAAGUGGUACGCGAGCUGGGUUUAGAACGUCGUGAGACAGUUCGGUCCCUAUCUGCCGUGGGCGCUGGAGAACUGAGGGGGGCUGCUCCUAGUACGAGAGGACCGGAGUGGACGCAUCACUGGUGUUCGGGUUGUCAUGCCAAUGGCACUGCCCGGUAGCUAAAUGCGGAAGAGAUAAGUGCUGAAAGCAUCUAAGCACGAAACUUGCCCCGAGAUGAGUUCUCCCUGAGACUUAGAGUCUCCUGAAGGAACGUUGAAGACGACGACGUUGAUAGGCCGGGUGUGUAAGCGCAGCGAUGCGUUGAGCUAACCGGUACUAAUGAACCGUGAGG